rnacentral:rRNA from 1 species
AUUGAACGCUGGCGGAAUGCUUUACUACAUGCAAGUACGAGCGGGCGAGCGCGGGGGCAACCCUGGCGGCGAGCGGCGAACGGGUGAGUAAUACACUCGGAACGGUGUCCUUAAGUGGGGGAUAGCUCGGCGAAAGCCGGAUUAAUACCGCAUAAAGCUCGUGAGGAGGAAAGCGGGGCUCCGUAAGGACCUCGCGCUGUUGGAGCGGCCGAUGUCGGAUUAGCUAGUUGGUGGGG